GACGAACGCUGGCGGCGUGCCUAAUACAUGCAAGUAGAACGCUGAAGGAGGAGCUUGCUUCUCUGGAUGAGUUGCGAACGGGUGAGUAACGCGUAGGUAACCUGCCUGGUAGCGGGGGAUAACUAUUGGAAACGAUAGCUAAUACCGCAUAAGAGUAGAUGUCGCAUGACAUUUGCUUAAAAGGUGCAAUUGCAUCACUACCAGAUGGACCUGCGUUGUAUUAGCUAGUUGGUGAGGUAACGGCUCACCAAGGCAACGAUACAUAGCCGACCUGAGAGGGUGAUCGGCCACACUGGGACUGAGACACGGCCCAGACUCCUACGGGAGGCAGCAGUAGGGAAUCUUCGGCAAUGGACGGAAGUCUGACCGAGCAACGCCGCGUGAGUGAAGAAGGUGUUCGGAUCGUAAAGCUCUGUUGUAAGAGAAGAACGAGUGUGAGAGUGGAAAGUUCACACUGUGACGGUAUCUUACCAGAAAGAGACGGCUAACUACGUG
rnacentral:rRNA from 1 species